rnacentral:rRNA from 1 species
AGACGUCUACAUUAGAUACCCGGUAGUCCCAGCCGUAAACUAUGCGCGUUAGGUGUAUCGGUGACCACGAGUUACCGAGGUGCCGAAGGGAAACCGUGAAACGUGCCGCCUGGGAAGUACGGUCGCAAGGCUGAAACUUAAAGGAAUUGGCGGGGAGCACCACAACAGGUGGAGCCUGCGGUUUAAUUGGACUCAACGCCGGGAAGCUCACCGGAUAAGACAGCGGAAUGAUUGCCGGGCUGAAGACUCUGCAUGACUAGCUG